GGAUGUGAGGGAGAGUUGGCUGUGACAUCUGUCACCCUAUAGACCAUCAGGGUAGAGCUGCCUGACCUACCUGGCUAGGUGGUGUCAUCUUCCUCCCUCCCCGCUUGAUGCAUGUGCCCCUUCAGAAACUGGACACUCUGUGGAACAGGAUCCACUCCCAACCCUCACCCACCAUACAGGCUCAUUUCUUCCCCUGAUAGAACCCCAAGCUCUCAAGAUUGUCCUCUAGGAAUGGCCCUACAGUGUAGCCCACAAGUUCCUUUUUUAAUUUUUAAUCAGUUCAAAAUAUUUUCUAAUUUUUAUU
rnacentral:sRNA from 1 species